rnacentral:rRNA from 1 species
AACACAUGCAAGUCGAACGGGAUUUAGUAGACAGAAGCCUCGGUGGAAGAUUACUAAUGAGAGUGGCGAACGGGUGAGUAACGCGUGAGCAACCUGCCUAUGACAGUGGGAUAGCCUCGGGAAACCGGGAUUAAUACCGCAUAAAAUCGUAGAAACACAUGUUUCAACGGUCAAAGAUUUAUCGGUCAUAGAUGGGCUCGCGUCUGAUUAGCUAGUUGGUGAGAUAACAGCCCACCAAGGCGACGAUCAGUAGCCGGUCUGAGAGGAUGAACGGCCACAUUGGAACUGAGACACGGUCCAAACUCCUACGGGAGGCAGCAGUGGGGAAUAUUGCACAAUGGGGGAAACCCUGAUGCAGCGACGCCGCGUGAACGAAGAAGGUAUUCGUAUCGUAAAGUUCUGUCCUAUGGGAAGAUAAUGACAGUACCAUAGAAGAAAGCUCCGGCUAAAUACGUGCCAGCAG